rnacentral:rRNA from 1 species
ACGUAGGUCACAAGCGUUGUCCGGAAUUACUGGGUGUAAAGGGAGCGCAGGCGGGCGAUCAAGUUGGAAGUGAAAUCCAUGGGCUCAACCCAUGAACUGCUUUCAAAACUGAUCGUCUUGAGUAGUGCAGAGGUAGGCGGAAUUCCCGGUGUAGCGGUGGAAUGCGUAGAUAUCGGGAGGAACACCAGUGGCGAAGGCGGCCUACUGGGCACCAACUGACGCUGAGGCUCGAAAGUGUGGGUAGCAAACAG